AGUGAACGCUGGCGGUAGGCCUAACACAUGCAAGUCGAACGGCAGCACAGUAAGAGCUUGCUCUUACGGGUGGCGAGUGGCGGACGGGUGAGGAAUACAUCGGAAUCUACUUUUUCGUGGGGGAUAACGUAGGUAAACUUACGCUAAUACCGCAUACGACCUACGGGUGAAAGCAUGGGAUCUUCUGACCUUGCGCGGUUGAAUGAGCCGAUGUGGGAUUAGAUAGUUGGCGGGUUAAAGGCCCACCAAGGCGACGAUCCGUAGCUGGUCUGAGAGGAUGGUCAGCCACACUGGAAGUGAGACACGGCCCAGACUCCUAAGGGAGGCAGCAGUGGGGAAUAUUGGACAAUGGGCGCAAGCAUGAUCCAGCCAUACCGCGUGGGUGAAGAAGGCCUUCGGGUUGUAAAGCCCUUUUGUUGGGAAAGAAAAGCAGCAGGUUAAUACCCAGCUGUUGUGACGGUAACAAAAGAAUAAGCACCGGCUAACUUCGUG
rnacentral:rRNA from 1 species